rnacentral:rRNA from 1 species
AGCUCCAAUAGCGUAUAUUAAAGUUGUUGCAGUUAAAAAGCUCGUAGUUGGAUUUCUGGCAAGAACGACCGGUCCUCCCCGAAAGGGGUGUGUACCUCGAGUUGUAUCUGGCCAUCCUUGUGGAGAACGUCCCUGGCAUUAGUUUGUCGUGGUCGGGAUCUGCAUCAUUUACUGUGAAAAAAUUAGAGUGUUUAAAGCAGGCGUUUGCUUGAAUACAUUAGCAUGGAAUAAUAAGAUAGGACUUUGGUACUAUUUUGUUGGUUUGCAUACCAAGGUAAUGAUUAAUAGGGAUAGUUGGGGGUAUUCAUAUUUAAUUGUCAGAGGUGAAAUUCUUGGAUUUAUGAAAGAUGAACUUCUGCGAAAGCAUUUACCAAGGAUGUUUUCAUUA